UACAGAGGUCUCAAGCGUUGUUCGGAUUUAUUGGGCGUAAAGAGCUCGUAGGCGGCUUGUUACGUCGACUGUGAAAUCCCGCGGCUCAACUGCGGGCUUGCAGCCGAUACGGGCAGGCUAGAGUUCAGUAGGGGAGAAUGGAAUUCCCGGUGUAGCGGUGAAAUGACGCAGAUAUCGGGGAAGAACACCCGUGGCGAAGGCGGUUCUCUGGGACGGUACUGACGCUGAGACGCGAAAGCGUGGGGAGCGAACAGG
rnacentral:rRNA from 1 species